GCUCCGGGCCGCUCCACUCCGGGAUUUGGUGGCGGCCAGCGCGGAGUUGGAGAAAUCGACAAAAUUCAAUAAUACGGAAAAAAAAACCGCGACCAAGUUCAGCGCGCAUGCUCCACAAAAAGCUCUAUCCAUCCUAACACUCACAUUACGAAAGUCGCCGAAAGCAGCCCAAGUGCAGAUGAAGAAAAAUUAAUCUGUGUGUAAUCUGUCAUGGAUGUAACUCGGACACCAGCAAUGAUUAGUACCACGCGCGCUCCUGUAGGAUAAGGCCAAAUUGCAACGAGGACGACCAGGAGGGGAAGUCUGGUGAGCGGUGGUACAACAAACUAACGCAGAGUCCUGUGUGGAUCAGUAAGUUCAUGGCGUUUGCUUUAUGAGUGGCUCUGUGGUGUGUUUCAUUGUUCUAUUACAUUCAUUCUUCAUGUGGUCAUUCUCAAAGUUC